UACGGAGGAUCCAAGCGUUAUCCGGAAUCAUUGGGUUUAAAGGGUCCGUAGGCGGGCUUAUAAGUCAGCGGUGAAAGUUUUUGGCUUAACCAAAAAAUUGCCGUUGAUACUGUAGGUCUUGAAUUUUUGUGAAGUAACUAGAAUAUGUAGUGUAGCGGUGAAAUGCAUAGAUAUUACAUGGAAUACCAAUUGCGAAGGCAGGUUACUAACAAACGAUUGACGCUGAUGGACGAAAGCGUGGGUAGCGAACAGGAUUAGAUACCCUGGUAGUCCACGCCGUAAACGAUGGAUACUAGUUGUUCGACCGCAAGGUUGAGUGACUAAGCGAAAGUGAUAAGUAUCCCACCUGGGGAGUACGAACGCAAGUUUGAA
rnacentral:rRNA from 1 species